CCCCCGCUUUGCUACCUCUAAAACUGAGGUGAAAUCUGAAACAGAGCGAUCCCCCCCAAAAAACAUUCCUGCUAAAUCUCAAAAGCCGAGGCAUGUGCCCGGCCCCCACCCACACCGGCACAUGUGUACGCACAAACACAAAAACACAUUCCAACACACGCUCGCGUACGAGCUUAAACAUACCCGCUCAAAACACAUCAUCGACGAGGCCGUGCGCACACACACACACACACACACACACACACACACACAUGCACACAUGCACACAGGGGUUAGAAGUGAGAUUGAGAAGUUGAGAAAAAGCAGGUCUGUGUGUGAGCGGCAGCAGGGAGGUCUGCUUUAAUCCAGAGCAUCCAGGAGGAGGAGGAGGAGGAGGAGGAGGAGGAGGAGGAGGAAGAAGAGGAGGAGGAGAGCAUCUGACGAAGGACAUCUGUCACGCCUAUAAGAACACAAAUCCACGUCAUUUAAAAAAUAAAUAUCUAGUAGUAACAGGAGAAAAGAAAUAUGUAAAACUAGUUAAAUGGGGAAACAGAUGUGCAUUGUGUUCCUGUAUAAUAUAAUAUCUGAAGCCCAGUUCAUCCAGUUAAGCUGGAUAAAGUAUGUAAUAAAGUUAGUUAAUUAAGUCUGAUAAAAGCCAGAUACACAGAAAAACAAAGAAACCUUUUCAUUGAGUGUUUUCCAUUCCCUUUUUUUCUCACAGGUUUUAUAAACCUUUUUAUCAAACAGUGAUCUCAAUUCUAAAUGUUCUUUAUGCAUCAGAAGUAGAAGGAGGUAACAUUCCCAGCGGGUCUACAGCCCUCGGCCUCCAUCGCCCUCUUCAAUUAGCUGCAAUUCAAUUUGUAAUGGCUUUUGCCCAGCAAAAUGUUGAAUAUUUUCCUGAAAAGUUCGUACAACAUUCACCACCACAUCCCCCAGCAUGGUCCUGUGCCUAUUUGCUAAUUUUAUAAAUAAAUAUUUACGAUGGAAUCAAACAAUAAAUCAAUUGUAAAAAACAAUUGUAAAAAAGAAAAACGUCCCUGCAGGCUGUUUUUUCUGGCUCCAGCCUUGCGAGAUGACAUACUUCACUCAUGGAUUUAACUGACCGAUAUGCCGAAACUGUAGUGUCCGAGUUAAACACCACCUACUUUUAAAGGAUUAGAGGUACUUGCAAGACCUUUAACUCAAGGUCUUUAUGGCCUGUUUUGCUGAGCUGACAUGCUUACCUGCUCUCAGGACAUCCACCUGAAGGCUCUCUGUUAGAACUCACAGAUGGUUCUGCAGUGAUGUAAUGAGGCUCAGGCUGGUUUCAUUAAACGGAUGAUUAUAUUUAAUGGUUACAUUUAUAUUUCCUAAU
ensembl:lncRNA